AUUUAUUUUUCAACACAUUAUAUAUUUAAACUAUCUUUGGGACAACAUUUGAUAUACUCAGAACUUCAAUAACAUAUAUCAGAUAAUUACUUGUGAUGGCGGUAGGUCUAUGCAUGAGUAUGAUUGGCAUUUUUCUUACUCUUGAGCAGUGAACAUCAUCACUAUAUUCAAAAUGCCAAAAUUACCUCUAGGCUGCUAACAUUUUUAUUUUAUUACGCCAACAGUAUUUAUAGAAAGUAUAAUAUGAGUGAGUGAACAUUAAAAUUUUAUGAUAUUUCAAUAAUAUUUGUUAUCAUAUGAUUUUAUUUCAGCUUAAAUAAAG
rnacentral:misc_RNA from 1 species